GAUGAACGCUGGCGGCGUGCUUAACACAUGCAAGUCGAACGGUGAACGAGGGAGCUUGCUCCCUCCGGAUCAGUGGCGAACGGGUGAGUAACACGUGAGCAAUCUGCCCUGGACUCUGGGAUAAGCGUUGGAAACGACGUCUAAUACCGGAUACGAGACGUGAAGGCAUCUUCAACGUCUGGAAAGAACUUCGGUCCAGGAUGAGCUCGCGGCCUAUCAGGUAGUUGGUGAGGUAACGGCUCACCAAGCCUACGACGGGUAGCCGGCCUGAGAGGGUGACCGGCCACACUGGGACUGAGACACGGCCCAGACUCCUACGGGAGGCAGCAGUGGGGAAUAUUGCACAAUGGGCGCAAGCCUGAUGCAGCAACGCCGCGUGAGGGACGACGGCCUUCGGGUUGUAAACCCCUUUUAGCAGGGAAGAAGCGAAAGUGACGGUACCUGCAGAAAAAGCACCGGCUAACUACGUGCCAGCAGCCGCAGUAACAC
rnacentral:rRNA from 1 species